rnacentral:rRNA from 1 species
UACAGAGACUGCAAGCGUUUAUUCGGAUUCACUGGGCGUAAAGGGUGCGCAGGCGGUCGGGUGUGUCAGAUGUGAAAUCCCGAGGCUCAACCUCGGAACUGCGUCUGAAACUACUCGACUAGAGUACUGGAGAGGGUAACGGAAUUCACGGUGUAGCAGUGAAAUGCGUAGAUAUCGUGAGGAACACCAGAGGCGAAGGCGGUUACCUGAACAGUUACUGACGCUCAGGCACGAAAGCAUGGGGAGCAAAAGGG